rnacentral:rRNA from 1 species
ACAGGUGCUGCAUGGCUGUCGUCAGCUCGUGCCGUGAGGUGUGGGUUAAGUCCCGCAACGAGCGCAACCCUAUUGCCAGUUGCUACCAGGUAAUGCUGGGCACUCUGGUGAGACUGCCCCGGUUAACGGGGAGGAAGGUGGGGACGACGUCAAGUCAUCAUGGCCCUUACGCCUAGGACUACACACGUACUACAAUGGCGCAUACAAAGGGCAGCGAUACCGCGAGGUGGAGCCAAUCCCAAAAAGUGCGUCCCAGUCCGGAUUGCAGUCUGCAACUCGACUGCAUGAAGUUGGAAUCGCUAGUAAUUCGAGAUCAGCAUGCUCGGGUGAAUGCGUUCCCGGGCCUU